rnacentral:rRNA from 1 species
UACGUAGGGCGCAAGCGUUGUCCGGAAUUAUUGGGCGUAAAGAGCUCGUAGGCGGCUUGUCGCGUCGGAUGUGAAAGCCCGGGGCUUAACCCCGGGUCUGCAUUCGAUACGGGCAGGCUAGAGUUCGGUAGGGGAGAUCGGAAUUCCUGGUGUAGCGGUGAAAUGCGCAGAUAUCAAGAGGAACACCUGCGGCGAAGGCGGGUUGCUGGGCUGACACUGACGCUGAGGCGCGAAAGCGUGGGGAGCGAACAGG